UCCAACCUUCUCCGAUUGGAGCUAAAUCAAAUGGCCGGAAAUCCCUCCCCGCCGCGCCGCCCCCACCCUCUCCUCGUCCCCUCCCCUCAUCACAAGAUAAGAGAAGAGAAGAGGGAGAUCGAUCAAUCUAGCGAGCCAGCAGGUCAGGAGGCGGCCCAGAUUCGCAGUGGCCGCCCAUGACCUCGACGGAGGUCGGCUCAAUCGCUCGCCCGCGCGCCGGGACAAGUCCUCCAACGAUGUGGUCAUCAAGGGCCUCGACGGCAACCCUGCUUCCCCCCAUCUGCUUCUGCUCUGCUGUGCUCGUCCGUGCGGCCGCCAAGGGCAACCCACGCAUGGAGCUUCCUCCGACUUCUCCGUCAGUAGGCAGGUCAUGGCACGCGUCAGACAUCGCCAGCGUCAGACAUCACCAACUCCUCGUCGGCUUCCCCUGCCCGCGCCUCUGCUCUCUCAUGUCUACCCUGAGGGGACUCACAUCGUCAUCCCCUGGUUCAAGAGGCCCAUCAUCUAUGAUGUCCGUGCGCGACCUAACCUUGUCGAGAGCACCUCCGAGAGCCGGGAUCUCCAGAUGACUUGUGGUGAAGAAGAGCAAGGCCAAGAAAGACUCCAACAAGCCCAAGCGCCCCCUGAGCGCCGUCUUAGUCCUCAUGUAGAGGCUGAUGGCGAGACGGAGGCGCGCCCUGAUUUGCUCGUGCAAGCCCAAACAGGGAUCUCGCCGUGGCAAUGCCACAGCCGCGACACGAGCUAGAUCACCAUGGCGACGCACAUCACAAGACCCCGCUGUUGGAUUCAUUUCUCUGCAGGUCACACUGUUGUUUUGCUGUGGUUGAUAAACCUGAGACUUCUUUCUAUUCUUCAAGACAAUUUUGUUUAGGCCAGCCAUGGAGCAGAAAGAAUGGACAUCGCUACUUCAGCAAGAGGGAAGAGCCGAAGAGGCCAUGAUGCUUACCUUGUUGGAGCGCAUCAACCCCGACCAUGGCACCACAUUCACAGUCUUGAGGUAGCCGUGCUGCAACUGCAUCAACGCUAUCUUCUCUGACUAGAUAAGUCUUUGGUCUAUCCCAUUAUUUUCUUUUGUUCUUUGUUCGAUGGGCCAUGAUGCCAUGACAUAUACUAUUGUGUUGAUUCCCUAUGUGAUGCAGAAGCUAUGGUGUUUUGUUUUAAGUCUGUUGUAGAUUGUAAUUGAUACUGAUUUGUGUAAAAUUUGGUGUAGAACAUAUGUCUUGUUAUCUUAAAUCGUUUGUGUCGUGCUCAAUGAACCAUCAAAGAUUGAAUCAUUUUCUACGUUCAAACAUCUAGAACCAUUCUGGGAGUUUUGGUAUUCAUGCAACAACUAUGCCUUCUUGUAUUCUGAACAACCAUUUUUGGGAGUUUUGGUAUUCAUGCCUUGUGGUUAUUAUGGUUACAUUUACAUGAGAGAUGCUUCAUGAUUUAGUCCCUAACUGCUUUCUAUAUUUGUUUUAUUUUGUUUCUAACUCUUUUGGUUAAUUGUUAGAUGCCUUUGUUCAGCCUGUACAGACAUAUCCAGAAAUGGUGUUUCCUCUCAUUUAAAGAGCUCCAGCCUGAAAGUGAAGAGAAGAAGUCUGGAGUAUAUUUGUAGUAGGUGUUAUAUGUUCUGAUAGUAUCACAUGUAAUGGUGAAAUGAAUUAUGUAAAGA